UAAGCCUGCGAAGGUGUACUGUGAGGUAUGCUGGAGGUAUCAGAAGUGCGAAUGCUGACAUAAGUAACGAUAAUGCGGGUGAAAAACCCGCACGCCGGAAGACCAAGGGUUCCUGUCCAACGUUAAUCGGGGCAGGGUGAGUCGACCCCUAAGGCGAGGCUGAAAAGCGUAGUCGAUGGGAAACGGGUUAAUAUUCCCGUACUGGUGGUAACUGCGAUGGGGGAACGGAGAAGGCUAGGUUGUCCGGGCGACGGUCGUCCCGGUUCAAGCAGGUAGGCAGAGU
rnacentral:rRNA from 1 species